CAGAGGGGCUGCCCGGGCAUGAAUUGAGGGUCAUGUAAGGCCAAGGCGUCAGAAGUGGACGCCCAGGCCCGGGCGUCAAGGGCCACCGCCCGGGCAUUGCGUUUUACCUCCUUCUGGUGCCUUUUUAGCCUCUUCUAAGCUCCAUCUUCUUGGCUCUUCAUCUUUUCUUCCAGUAUUACCUCAAUCUCUGUCAAAACAACGAG
rnacentral:lncRNA from 1 species